AAUAUGCACAAUGAAUAUGUCACCAAACUCUCCAUGGAGAUUUCCCGUCUCAGCGAGCUGAUCGACGAGAUGAAGUGCCGGCAGCCAGCGAGUGAAUUCCUGCAGGACAUCAGAAGCACCUUGGCCAGUUAUUGAAUAUGUGUCUAUGUGACGUUCCUCUGGUGUUAUCUUGACCAGUGCACAGGCAGCGUGUGAGUAUGCGGUAUUGGUGUGGGUGGUGGGUGAAGUUUCCCCUUCCACCA